GUCAAAUUAUGACCAGUUAUUAAUGGCACGUACUGGUUUUGUUAUAAUGUACUUAUUAUUAAAAAAAAGCAAGACACAGGCGUUGGUUGAUGACUUCAUGGUUAAAAGUCGAUUAACUUCAUGCAGGCAAGUAAACUAAAUAGGUGGUUGAAAAUAAAAAUAAAAAUUAUUAUGAUUUUUGCAGUGAUAGUAAUUUACUAGAGGAUUUGAGAAGAGAAGAUUCUGGUCACUUUAAUAACUUCUGUAGAAUGCCACUAGCUGCAUCUUUAAUAAUAGUAUAUUCUGUAUUUAUUGUUUUUCUCGGCUUAAAUUUAUCAUUUAAAAAUUGCAUCGAAUGAAAUGCAAACCAUUGCGAGUGAUACACCUAAUCGUUGCCCAUUCCAGAUGUAGUUCCUUCUAUCUGCCGUUCUCGCCUGAAUGAAGUUAAUAAACUUUCCAUUUUUUUUACGAACAUCAAUAACUUCAGCAUUCAUUUAUUUUACAAUUUCACACCAUAUAUCAAAUGUUUUUUUGUUCAAUUUGUAUUCAAAAUGCGAUGGGUCCUAUAGUAUUGGGUUAUCUUGAUAUAAACUUAUUAACUGAAUGCAUCGUUUAUCACUCCAAUCCGUUUUAAAUAUGAGAAAUUAUUGAAUUUGAAUUGAAUAAAUUGAAUUAAAAUAUUACAUAUUAUUAAAACUAAUGCAUUAAUAUG